GACGAACGCUGGCGGCGUGCUUAACACAUGCAAGUCGAACGGUGAACCUCUUCGGAGGGGAUCAGUGGCGAACGGGUGAGUAACACGUGGGCAACCUGCCCCCGGCUCUGGGAUAACUCCAAGAAAUUGGGGCUAAUACCGGAUGUUCACCGCUUCCCGCAUGGGGGGGGGUGGAAAGGGUUUCCGGCUGGGGAUGGGCCCGCGGCCUAUCAGCUUGUUGGUGGGGUAGUGGCCUACCAAGGCGACGAAGGGUAGCCGGCCUGGGAGGGGGGCCGGCCACACGGGGCCUGCGGCACGGCGCAGACUCCUACGGGGGGCAGCAGUGGGGAACAUUGCGCAAUGGGCGGAAGCCUGACGCAGCGACGCCGCGUGGGGGAUGACGGCCUUCGGGUUGUAAACCUCUUUCAGCAGGGACGAAGCGCAAGUGACGGUACCUGCAGAAGAAGCACCGGCCAACUACGUG
rnacentral:rRNA from 1 species